rnacentral:tmRNA from 1 species
GGGGGCGUUUGGUUUUGACAGCAUAGGUCUUUGAAAGUGUAAGCAUGCAGUGCGUUGGAUAAUUAGCACUUAAAUCUGAAUAUUCAAAACAAUAAAUGGCAAUACACAGUAUGCCAUGGCUGCCUAAUCAGUGAUUAAGUAGUCAUUAGGGCCGCCGCACAGGUUUGUCUGUAACCAAGUGCCGCCGCCGACAUCAAACAAAUACAGGCUGCUGCAACGAAAGGCUGUGAUUGUUGCUUAAGACCAUUCAGCUAAGGAAAUAAUUGGUUUGUUCAACCCCCGUUAUUUCCCGACAACCAAUGUUGAAAUAAGCAUGUAGAAAGCUUUUGUAGAAUAUGUUUGGACACCGGUUCGAUUCCGGUCGCCUCCACUA